CGCGGGGCCCUGCGGGGCUCCUGGCGGAGCAGCUCUUCCUCUGGAAGUCGGGUCGCAGGGCGGGCGGCCACCUCCCAACCGCAGGGGACCUAAGGUUAGGGGCUGUUCUGAACUCAGGAGGUGAGGAAAGUCUCCGUGAGGAAAGACGGCUUUGCCAGACCUGCCGCCGUCAGAUGGUGUGACGCAGCAGCAACGGAAAGAAAAACAACCCACCUGUUGCCUGAGCAGAUACCACCACCAGCCCGAGCCAAUAUUCCCGCUGUUUUAGUGAGCCCUUAGUUUUAAAUUAGCCAAUCACCCUGUGCCACGCCAACCUCUGCCAACGUGCCACCCAAUCAUCUUGAAAUCCCAGCCCCUCACUCCACCCUUCACGCCAUCCCUCGCGCCUACUGUAAUAAAAACCCUGCUCAACUGAUGAUCAGGGCUCUCACCAUGGAUCCACUGUGUUGGUGAGAUCUGAGAGACCGAGGUUAAGCCUGAAUAAACGCCCUUUGCUUUUGCAUACGUGA